GGUAGUGUGGCCGAGUGGUCUAAGGCGCUUGAUUUAGGCUCAGGAGGCGUGGGUUCAAAUCCCACCACUGCCA